rnacentral:tRNA from 14 species
UUGCGUGUAGUAUAGUGGUGAGUAUCCGCGCCUGUCACGUGCGAGACCGGGGUUCGAUUCCCCGCCAGAGAG